rnacentral:rRNA from 1 species
GACGAACGCUGGCGGCGUGCUUAACACAUGCAAGUCGAACGGAAAGACCCUGCUUUUGUGGGGUGCUCGAGUGGCGAACGGGUGAGUAACACGUGAGUAACCUGCCCUUGACUUUGGGAUAACUUCAGGAAACUGGGGCUAAUACCGGAUAGGAGCUCCUGCUGCAUGGUGGGGGUUGGAAAGUUUCGGCGGUUGGGGAUGGACUCGCGGCUUAUCAGCUUGUUGGUGGGGUAGUGGCUUACCAAGGCUUUGACGGGUAGCCGGCCUGAGAGGGUGACCGGGCACAUUGGGACGGAGAUACGGCCCAGACUCCGACGGGAGGCAGCAGUGGGGAAUAUUGCACAAUGGGCGGAAGCCUGAUGCAGCAACGCCGCGUGCGGGAUGACGGCCUUCGGGUUGUAAACCGCUUGCGCCUGUGACGAAGCGUGAGUGACGGUAAUGGGUAAAGAAGCACCGGCUAACUACGUG